rnacentral:lncRNA from 1 species
AUGAGGGAGACUGCACCACUGUCCUCUUUAGUCUUGCCCGCCCUUCCUGGUUAUAAAAGGAUAUUGGACGGCGCCAUAUUAGAAGAGGCAUGUUGGAAGAACGGGGGGGGGAUAUGUGCGCAUGCGCAAACAGGGAAAGUGCUCGAGCAGGAGAGGCGAGCCGGCGCUUGCGCAGACACGCCUCCGGUCGGUGAGGGAGGGAGGGAAGGGGACGGUUGCUGGUUGGUUGUUGUAGUAACAGAGCGAAGCGCCGGCAAGAGGAGCCACGGCUGCCGGGCCGUCAAGGGAGAUGAAGCCGCAGGAACAUCUAGGAGUGAGCAUAUUACACCCAUAUUAAAGUUACAUGGUUUGGGUCCAGGCUACCUACAGGAUCUCCUUCUUCUGCACAAUCUGUCCUUGAGAUCCUCUGGUGGGUGGCUACUCCAACAAGCCAAAACCCAACCAGUGACUGUCACCCGCAGAACUUCUUCAUCGGCUACCGCACAAUUGUGGAAUGACCUACCGGAAGAAAUUUGAUAGCUGAACGAAAUGUCAGAAUUUAAAAUGCAAUUGAAGACCUCUAUCUCUUCUGGUUGGCCUACCUAGCCAACUUUCAGUCAUGAGUUUUGAUUUGCAUUCUGUUACUACUAUAUGUCAGUUCUAUAGCUGUGUUUGGGGUGUGUGUAUGUGUGUGUGUGUGUGUGUGUGUGUGUGUGUGUAUAUAUGUAUAUGACAUUUAAUAAAAUAUUUUAAUGUGCAUUUGUUUUUGAAUUUGUUGUAUUCGCCUCAAGCCACCAGGAAAGGCGGGUAAUAAAUAAAUCCUCCUCCUCCUCCUCCUCCUCCUCCUCCUCUUCUUAGUAGUCUUGAGUAAAUAUGAAAAUAAUUGAAUUCCUACCAACCCAAUCAAAGACAGCUAUGGCCAGUGGAUUCUCACUUGCGCGCACAUGCACAGAUCAAGAAAGAGAGAUAGUACAGAUAUAAACAAAUAUAAUUAGACCAUUACAGUACUAACAACUUUUCCUGAACAAACCACACUAGCAUUUACUGAACAUACCUGCUAUUCUACCCCAUCAAUUGUCUCACCAUGUAUACAUAUCUUUGUGUUUGUGUAUUUAUAUAUAGUAGAUAUAGUAGAGUAUAUGUAAAAAUUGACUUCCCACCAUCCACAUCAAAGACAGCUAUGGCCGGUGGAGUCUUACAUGCGCGCAUGCGUGCACCCACAACACAUGUAUAUGUAUCUAUAAAUAUGAACACAAGGUGGCAGACCUAUUUUAAAUAAGAGAAUAAAUGAACCUAGAGCAGUGCUUUAUAGACUAUUUGAUAUGAAGGAUCUGCAAUCCCCUCCAAUGUACCUUGUACUAGUACGGUUGGCUCUCAGUAUCUAGGGAUUCAGUUUCCACAGUUUGAAAAUAUUUUUUUAAAGCCACAAAGUGAACCAUUUUACCAUUUUAUAUAAGGGGCACCAUUUUACUAUGCCAUUGUAUAUAAUGGGAUUUGAACAUGCAUGCAUUUUGAUAUCCCCAUGGGUCCAGGAACCAAACCCCUGCAGAUACCAAGAGCCCACUGUACCAUUUGUUUACCCACUAAGUGAUUUUUGUUCUGGUGAUACAAAAUAUAGAAGGAGCUAUGGGAAAAAUACGGAAGGCCUACAUAUGGUUGUCUGGAUGUCCUCUAAAGUUUUCUCUUGGAGGCAGUGUGGUUGCAGAUGAAAACAUUGCCUUACCUGGAAAACCCUGAAUUAAACUGAACACAUUAAGCAAUAUUUAGUUAGGGAAUCCAGGAUUAAUGCACUGUCAGAUUGAUUGAGCUAAACAACCACUUUAAAGCCUCUCUCAGCUCAGAAGGUUUAAUAAAUGUUACUGUAGGAAGUUUUGAUUCUUUUCAGAUAAGUGAUGUGUCAUAUAACCUGUGGGUUUGAUAUAGUGAAUUAAUUGAAGAUAUGUGUCAAACCGUAGAGUUGUUGUGUCAUGUUCCUUUGAUAAGGAUAUAUUUUGACUCCAGGGUUGUGGCUGGGCUUAUAUAAGGUUUUUUAUAUUUGGUGUUCAUGUAUAUAUGAUGCUGGUAGACCUCUGAUUUUGAAUUUGAGUCAGUGUAAAUGAGCCAAAUUGAAUGAAAAAUGUCUUCAAGGAGAUAUGGCUGGAAUGUGAAUGCUCUGUAUGUCAUACUACCACUGCUCCCUUGCAAAACCCCUCCCCAUACUUGUACUUCUUUGUAAUGUCUUUAUGUUUUGAGGCAUAGAUUGUGAUGGCUUUGUUUACAAAUAUAUAUAAGCUGCAUAUAUUUGCCCAUUUCCAGGCAGUGUUCAUGAAUAAUUAAAAUAUAGACUGUUAAACCAGUACAUAAUGGAUGAGUUUGUAUUAGAUGCUGGUAGAAUUUAAAGCUUUGCCAGCAUACCUAGGAUGGAGAUCUGGGAGAAGAAAGGGUAUGCUCUUUCCAUUUGGCUUCAUGAAAGCAUUCAGAUGGUACCUGGGUGCAUCACUAUGGUCAAUCUGUCAAAGGUCAGACGCCAGCCAGUAAGAUAAAUAUAGUUUAUUCAAAAAAUAACUAAAAAAAGCUCAGCACAAAGUCCAGAGAGCUCACAGCACUUUAACUUCAGUGUGAAUUAACAGUUCAGAGCAAGAAACCCCAAAAAAUGCAAACCGGAAUAUAAUCUGGAUUAUCCGGAGAUAUAAUCCGGAUUAAAACCAAAGUGUUCAGAAACAGCUCAAAAUUGCAAGGUGUCACGACCCAGGCGGCAGAGGCACCAAUAACCAUACACAGAG